rnacentral:rRNA from 1 species
GACGAACGCUGGCGGCGUGCCUAACACAUGCAAGUCGAACGAGGUCCUUCUCGGUGGCAACACCUUGAAGUACCUAGUGGCGAACGGGUGAGUAACACGUGAGGAACCUACCCCGAAGACCGGGAUAACUCUCCGAAAGGAGUGCUAAUACCGGAUGUCCCCACCCGGAUCGCAUGAUCUGGUGAGGAAAUGGAUUCCGCUUCGGGAGGGCCUCGCGGCCUAUCAGCUAGUUGGUGGGGGUAACGGCCCACCAAGGCAUCGACGGGUAGGCUGGUCUGAGAGGACGAUCAGCCACACUGGGACUGAGACACGGCCCAGACUCCUACGGGAGGCAGCAGUGGGGAAGUCUUGCGCAAUGGGCGAAAGCCUGACGCAGCAACGCCGCGUGGGGGAGUGAAGGCUCUCGGGUCGUAAACCCCUUUCAGCAGGGACGAAUUUUGACGGUACCUGCAGAAGAAGCCCCGGCUAACUACGUGCCAGCAGCCGCGGUAAAGUCG